GAGGUUGAUAGAGGAGAAAUAAGUAGAGAAAAGCCAGUUAGGAUAGUGAGAAGAGGAAUUUGGGGCUUUAAUGAUCAUGAUCUAUAUCAUUAAAAAUGCUAAGAAACCAAAAAUCACAUAUUUUAGUGAUCUCUAACCUAUACAUCAAUUGGGUGCAAUAAAACCGACUAAAAUGAUAUAAGACCAUGUUUUGUUAUGUUUUAAGCAUUAAAAUCUAUCGAUAUAUGUAGAUCAUGAUCAAUAAGAAAGAUAAUCAAUUUAAAUACUUUAUCAUGUAUUUAGCACACCAGCAAAAUAGAAGCCAUCCACUUUUUGUUUCCACAUGAUGCAUAGGUUAAAGACCACCAAAACAUAUGACUCAACCUUAUAGAUCAUAAUCCUUGAAUUGGAUUCCUUAUUAUUAUUUUUGAAGUCGAGAGAAAUAGAUAUCCUCAAGAGGAGCAUAGUCAAUCUCUCUCUCUCUCUCUAUGUAUAUAUAAAUAUAUAUAUACACACACACACACACACAUACAUAUACAUAUAUACAUACAUACACAUAUAUACAUACAUAUACAUAUAUACAUACAUAUAUAAUUAUGUAAUGAGGUAUGUACAUAUUUAUGACUUUCCAAGCAAGAUUGUCAAGAGACCCUGAGGCAUAUCGAAUUGUCUAUCACCAAUUAGCUGUGCAUUAGGCAUGCAAAUGGUUAGUGGUAAGUAACAAAACCAAAAUCCUAUUAGCGAGAUAGAGCAUUUGGGGAAUGAGAAGUUGGAGACUUAUUUGAGGUUAGGAGAGUCUCAAUUAGCUCACAUCACUUCAAUCAAUGUAGUAAGUUAUUCAAUGCUAGUGUUGCUAAAAUCGGCCGAUCUAUGAUUUGAAUCAUAAGAUCUGCAUCAACAAACCAUAAAACAAUCUUGACGGUACUCAAACCAUAAGAUCUGCUUAAAUAUUCUCGAUUCAUUUUCCUUUUAAAGAUUUCAAUUUGACUUUGAAUUCGGGUGCAAAUAGGUGGUUAGCUAGCUAAACUUAGUUCUCCAUUACAAAGAAGUCUCUAUCAAUCAAGAAGUGGUUCAAUCAAUUUUAGGCAAGUUUUGGUUGGCUUAGAG
rnacentral:lncRNA from 1 species